rnacentral:rRNA from 1 species
CACUUAUAGAUGGAUCCGCGCUGCAUUAGCUAGUUGGUAAGGUAACGGCUUACCAAGGCAACGAUGCAUAGCCGACCUGAGAGGGUGAUCGGCCACACUGGAACUGAGACACGGUCCAGACUCCUACGGGAGGCAGCAGUAGGGAAUCUUCCGCAAUGGGCGAAAGCCUGACGGAGCAACGCCGCGUGAGUGAUGAAGGUCUUCGGAUCGUAAAACUCUGUUAUUAGGGAAGAACAUAUGUGUAAGUAACUGUGCACAUCUUGACGGUACCUAAUCAGAAAGCCACGGCUAACUACGUGCCAGCAGCCGCGGUAAUACGUAGGUGGCAAGCGUUAUCCGGAAUUAUUGGGCGUAAAGCGCGCGUAGGCGGUUUUUUAAGUCUGAUGUGAAAGCCCACGGCUCAACCGUGGAGGGUCAUUGGAAACUGGAAAACUUGAGUGCAGAAGAGGAAAGUGGAAUUCCAUGUGUAGCGGUGAAAUGCGCAGAGAUAUGGAGGAACACCAGUGGCGAAGGCGACUUUCUGGUCUGUAACUGACGCUGAUGUGCGAAAGCGUGGGGAUCAAACAGGAUUAGAUACCCUGGUAGUCCACGCCGUAAACGAUGAGUGCUAAGUGUUAGGGGGUUUCCGCCCCUUAGUGCUGCAGCUAACGCAUUAAGCACUCCGCCUGGGGAGUACGACCGCAAGGUUGAAACUCAAAGGAAUUGACGGGGACCCGCACAAGCGGUGGAGCAUGUGGUUUAAUUCGAAGCAACGCGAAGAACCUUACCAAAUCUUGACAUCCUUUGACAACUCUAGAGAUAGAGCUUUCCCCUUCGGGGGACAAAGUGACAGGUGGUGCAUGGUUGUCGUCAGCUCGUGUCGUGAGAUGUUGGGUUAAGUCCCGCAACGAGCGCAACCCUUAAGCUUAGUUGCCAUCAUUAAGUUGGGCACUCUAAGUUGACUGCCGGUGACAAACCGGAGGAAGGUGGGGAUGACGUCAAAUCAUCAUGCCCCUUAUGAUUUGGGCUACACACGUGCUACAAUGGACAAUACAAAGGGCAGCGAAACCGCGAGGUCAAGCAAAUCCCAUAAAGUUGUUCUCAGUUCGGAUUGUAGUCUGCAACUCGACUACAUGAAGCUGGAAUCGCUAGUAAUCGUAGAUCAGCAUGCUACGGUGAAUACGUUCCCGGGUCUUGUACACACCGCCCGUCACACCACGAGAGUUUGUAACACCCGAAGCCGGUGGAGUAACCUUUUAGGAGCUAGCCGUCGAAG